GCCCGGCUAGCUCAGUCGGUAGAGCAUGAGACUCUUAAGCUCAGGGCGUGGGUCAAAGCCACACGUUGGUCC
rfam:Glossina pallidipes unplaced genomic scaffold Scaffold373, whole genome shotgun sequence.